CCUGGCUCUAGAGGCAUUGCUGGUGUGGCUGCUGUGUCUCAUGUGGGCCAGUAGGUGGCGGAAAGGAGAGAGGCUCCGUCUGCACUCAGUGUUCUGACCUGUGAGCAUCUGAAUGAUUAGUAGCCUCACAUU
ensembl:snoRNA